UUUAGUUUUAUGUUAUUUGAAAUUCGAUAGAAUAUUCUUUUUUUUUUUUGGCGCCUCAUUUGCUCAGGCCUACGCCUUCGCCUUACGCCUUGUGCCUAGGCUCCAAGACCCCUUGACGCCUUAGUGCACUUUGAGCUUUUAAUAAAUAUUACUAUGACACCUCAUCAGAAAGUGUAAUAAUAGCUAUUUCUAAUUCAAUAAGCAGAACACUAGAAUAGAAACAAGUAUCAAGUAGAAGAAGAGAAAGAUAGAAGGGAAACAAAAAAGAAACAAAGAAAUUGAACAAAAACUAAAAACAGCUGUAAUGUAGCCUGCCUUGAGUUUUCUUCCCAAAAAACCAAGGCAAUUAAAAAGACUAAAACAAGUUUAAGCAUAGUAUUUAUUUAUGGCAAACGGCAUAUUAAUACCCUUGCAACAUUUUUUGCAGUCAAUCCUAUAGCAGAACUUUCUGUAGGGGUGAGAGAGGAGAAUAGAAAGCCAAUAUCAGUGUAAAGUUUGAUACAACUUCCAGCUUGUUACAAAGGUUAAUAAUCAAAAGAGUAGAUUUCAAGACGAAAGAAAUGAUAUCGAGAGGUAGAAAGGAAAAAAAGUACCAAAAAAAGCAGGACAAGAAAUAUUCAAAGUAAAGCCCAUGCUAAUGCCAAAAGAGCUCUUCAGUCCCACAGCAAAUUGGCGAAGAAAUUACCCCAGAAAAGUUGGACAAUAGCGUGGAGCAAGUUCAAUUUUCUUUAAUAAAAGUUGGAUAAUUUCAACUGAAUUUUUAUGAAACUUAUAGAUUCAGUUUCUUAAAAGCUUGCCACAUAAGUUGACCUUUAUAAAACAAAGAUGAUUUGUACCAUCAAUAGCCUAUACCAUAAUUUAACAAUAUGAACUUAAUUAAGAGGGAAAAUGCUUAUGGAGCAGCAGAGAGAAUAGAAUAAGAAAUGAUAAGUUUACAAGUCCUAAAUGCACAAUGUUUCAGACAAGUAAUAGACAGGUUAAAAUUAACAAUAUUAUAUUUGAUGUUAUGUAUUAUUUGAAAUAGUUGUUUAUAAUUGAUUAACAAUAUCGUUUUGGACUUCCAAUGACUUGUUUCUAAUUGAUUAUGUAAUAUUAAAUUUUUUACAACAAAAUGAUGAUGGUUAUAAUUGUUGAUACUAUUUUCUUCAUGAGAACCUCUCAGCACAUACAACUUAUGAAUUAAAACAUAAAAAGGAUUUCUAACACCCAUUGGACUGCUAACUAGAUGAUCUGAUGGACAAGGAUUUCGAGUGAGAGAGAAAGAGAGAUGCAUGAGACCAACUGACUAAGAACAUUGAGUAAAACCAUUGACACAGCAAUCAGAGGUUGCC
rnacentral:misc_RNA from 1 species